rnacentral:tRNA from 1 species
GGAGGUUACAGCUCAGUGGCAGAGUGUGUGCUUAGCAUGCACAUGGUCCUGGGUUCAAACCCCAGUACCUCCA